rnacentral:lncRNA from 1 species
UCCUUCUGUCCCUCAAGGCCAUGGAGGAAAGGCCAAGGCAGACCUCCGCCGCGUCCGGCUGUGGCUCCAGCACCUGUGUGAGGUCGGGGAGGACCCGGUCCUGUCUCAGCCUGUGACGGUGAAUCUGAAGGCUUCUCGAGGAGUCGCUUGUCUUGAAGUUGAAGUGUGGCCGAGAAGAGAGGCCACUGGACACUGUCCUCUGGGAAAUGAGGCACCUGAAUUGUUGCUGACACCAGUUCCAGGACCGUGAAGGGUGGGGGAGAGGAUGGCAAGGAGCACUUGUCACCUCAUCUGGACCCUGGAAGGAGCAGUCAGAGAUGACCCACCUCACACCCUGACACUCUCAGGAUCUGUUUGUAAUAGAGAUCCUUCCACAGAGCCUGGGGCCAGACAGGUGCUCCAGAACUCAGAAUUCCUUAGAUUUUCGGGAUAAACAGCACAUGUCCUGUGUCAAGGAACACCUAGCAUUGGAUCUGGGGCAACACCUAUGAUUAAACAUUGCUAUGGGCUGAAUUGUGUCCACCCCAAUAUGUGUGUUCAAGUCCUAACCCCCCAGGACCUUAGAAUAUGGCUGUAUUUGGAGAUGGGAUAUUUUAAAAGUUUAUUAAAGUAAAAUGAGGUCGUGUGGGUGGGCUCUAAUCCAACCCUUAUUUUAUUUUUUUUAAUUUUUAAGUUCAUUUAUUUAUUUUGAGAGAGAGAGAGAGAAGAGAGAGAGAGAGAGAAGAGAGAGAGAGAGAGAGAAGAGAGAGAGAGAGAGAGAGAGAAUCCCAAGCAGGCUUCACAACUGUCAGUGCAGUUCCCAAUGCGGGGCUCGAUCCCAUGAACGAUGAGACCAUGACCUCAGCCAAAACCAAGAGUCAGACAUGUAACCGACUGAGCCACCCAGAUGCCCCUAAUUUUACCGGUAUAUUAUAGUUAGACAGUAUGGUUUAUGUCUCGGUGUGGUAGAUACGUGUAGAGAUUUUUAGGCACCAAAAAGUUUUGGGAGAUCCUAGCGAAAUUUCUCAAAAAUACCCAAGAUCUGUGUUUUCAGGAGCAGAUGGGACUAACAGAUCAUGGCCAUUGUUCUUGAGCAGGUUGUGGCAGUGUUCAUUGUUCACGACAGCUAUGAAUUGUAAGUAACCCAAAGAUCCAUCCACAGCAGCGUGGAAAAAUAGAGAGUGUAGUGGGUCUCCAAGUGUGGCCCCAGGACCAAUAAUACCAGCAUCACUUGGGAAGCUGUUAGAAACACAAAUUAUCAGGUCCUACCUUGGACCAAACAAAUCAGAAACUCUAGAG